rnacentral:rRNA from 1 species
UACGGGGGGGGCAAGCGUUGUUCGGAAUUACUGGGCGUAAAGGGCUCGUAGGUGGCCAACUAAGUCAGACGUGAAAUCCCUCGGCUUAACCGGGGAACUGCAUCUGAUACUGGAUGGCUUGAGUUUGGGAGAGGGACGCGGAAUUCCAGGUGUAGCGGUGAAAUGCGUAGAUAUCUGGAGGAACACCCGUAGCGAAGGCGGCACUCUGGGCCGGAACUGACGCUGAGGAGCGAAAGCGUGGGGAGCAAACAGG